AGUGAACGCUGGCGGUAGGCCUAACACAUGCAAGUCGAACGGCAGCACAGGAGAGCUUGCUCUCUGGGUGGCGAGUGGCGGACGGGUGAGGAAUACAUCGGAAUCUACUCUGUCGUGGGGGAUAACGUAGGGAAACUUACGCUAAUACCGCAUACGACCUACGGGUGAAAGCAGGGGAUCUUCGGACCUUGCGCGAAUCAAUGAGCCUAUGUCGGAUUAGUCAGUUGGCGGGGUAAAGGCCCACCAAGGCGACGAUCCGUAGCUGGGCUGAGAGGAUGAUCAGCCACACUGGAACUGAGACACGGUCCAGACUCCUACGGGAGGCAGCAGUGGGGAAUAUUGGACAAUGGGCGCAAGCCUGAUCCAGCCAUACCGCGUGGGUGAAGAAGGCCUUCGGGUUGUAAAGCCCUUUUGUUGGGAAAGAAAUCCAGCUGGCUAAUACCCGGUUGGGAUGACGGUACCCAAAGAAUAAGCACCGGCUAACUUCGUGCCAGCCGCCGCCGUAA
rnacentral:rRNA from 1 species